rnacentral:rRNA from 1 species
GUCUUUUUGGUAUUUAAUAUAAAGUCUGACCUGCCCACUGAAUAUUGUUUGAAGGGCCGCAGUAUUUUGACUGUGCAAAGGUAGCAUAAUCAUUAGUCUUUUAAUUGAAGGCUGGUAUGAAUGGUUGGAUGAGAUACAAGCUGUGUCAUAAAAAUUAAAAUUUGAAUUUAACUUUUUAGUCAAAAGGCUAAAAUUUUUUUAAAAGACGAGAAGACCCCAUAGAGCUUUAUAUAGUAAUUAUUUAAGUUAUUUAGAUUUUUUAAAUUUAAUUAUUGAUCUGUAUUUUGUUGGGGUGACAAUAAAAUUAAUAAAACUUUUAUUUUUAUUUAACAUUAAUUUAUGAUUAAAUGAUCCAGUUUUAUUGAUUAUAAAAUUAAGUUACCUUGGGGAUAACAGCGUAAUUUUUUUUGAGAGUUCUUAUCGACAAAAAAGAUUGCGACCUCGAUGUUGGAUUAAGAGUAAUUUUGGGUGUAGAAGUUCAAAGUUUAAGUCUGUUCGACUUUUAAAUUCUUACAU